UUCUUUGCUGCCGCUUGCGGUGGCUCCCCUUAAAUUCAUCGGUCGGGCUUUCGUGCGGCUCUGUCCCUUGGCGUUGUAUUACCCUCGUCGCUGGAUGGCUCGCGAUACUGUGCCCCUCCUCGACCUGCCUAUGGAGUGGCGGUCUUCAACACGUUUUGUGAUCUGACCUCAAAUCAGGUAGGACUACCCACUGAACUUAA
rnacentral:misc_RNA from 1 species